rnacentral:lncRNA from 1 species
CACUAGAAUUACAAUUCUGAAUAAUUAUAACCUUAAACUCAAAUACCACUUAAAUCAUAUUUUCUAGUGAUCAUAAUCUAAACUCUAAUAUCAUUCUAUCAUACCUUUAAUGAUCAAAAUCUUAAACUCCGAUAUUAUCAAUCAUACUCUGGUGAUUAUAAUCUCAAAGUUUUGAUAUCACUUAUAUGACAAUCCCUAGUGACCUUAAACUUGGGCUCUAGUACUGUUCUGUCAUAUCCUAAUCACUUGUAUCAUU